CGCCUUUAAAUCCGACGCCUUUCGUCCUAUAUUUCCUGUGUCGGGCUUCGGCCCGACUAUGGAGAUAAACGCGCGCAUAAUAAGCGAACUGGACCCGGGUGCGAUUCCCGGCGGCUCCACCAAUCUUUUCCGCGCUAUCGGCGGGACUGCAUGGGGCCGAUCAGCAUCGACAGGCGUGUAAAGGCGUUGCUUUCUCUCGGCAUGGCUCCACCGUCAUCGGGCCAUUGACUAACUGCGAACGAUAACUUCGCUGGAGAAGUUCGUCUGGCUGCGUAAGCGGUCAGCCGUUUCUCAUCUAAGCCCUGGGGGUUCAGAUCCUCAGGCGGGGCCCCGGGGGCGCCUGGCAACAGAAGCCCCCGACU
rnacentral:tmRNA from 1 species